CCGGACGUCAGCCCAGUUGCUCCGCUCGGGGCGCAUCGAUCAACAAGCGCCGCCGCCGCCUCGCCGACGAACGGACGCGAAGAGGCGAGCCCUCCACGCCGCCGGCGGCACCAGCGAGUCUCGGCAUCAGGUUGUUUGGUCUUGCUCGUGUUCAUGGUGCUGGAAAUUCCCGAUUUCGUUAACCGAUGAAGUGGGCAUGACUACUGAACAUGGUCUGUACAAAGUGGGGAUUGCAAGCUCUAAACGUUCGAAUGUUUGCAUAAGGCCUUCUCUGAGGAGUUUGGGAGCGCACUGUUGCUCUUUUAUGCCCAUGAUGCUGAAGCUGAACACAGUAACUAUGCAUGUGGCUAUCAUAACUAAAGACAAAUUAUGUUGUUAUACAUGCUGUAGUGGUUCUCAUUGAAGUUUAUCAUCGUCUUCCUGCCCUUCUCCUCAACAAUCCAAGCGAGACUUCGGGUCAUCAUGUUUUCUGACCAGCAACAGUGGU